GACGACGCUGGCGGCGUGCUUAACACAUGCAAGUCGAACGAGGGGCGGACGGGUGAGUAGAGUAUGGGGUUCUGCCCGGUAGAGGGGGAUUACUACUGGAAACGGUGGCUAAUACCGCAUACUAACGGAUGCACCCAUAUGGGAUUAGCUAGUAGGUGGGGUAACGGCUCACCUAGGCGACGAUCUCUAGCUGGUCUGAGAGGAUGAUCAGCAACACUGGGACUGAGACACGGCCCAGACUCCUACGGGAGGCAGCAGUGGGGAAUAUUGCACAAUGGGCGCAAGCCUGAUGCAGCCAUGCCGCGUGUGUGAAGAAGGCCUUAGGGUCGUAAAGCACUGUCAGCGGGGAGGCGUUAACCGCAGAGGAAGCACCGGCUAACUCCGUGCCAGCAGCCGCGGUAAUUC
rnacentral:rRNA from 1 species